UUUGGAUGUGGUGUUGUGAACAACUUCCACAGUUCGACUCGAGAUAAGUGGUGUCACUGAAGGUACUACCUGGUUCUACGCAAUGACGAUAAGGCGGAUUUUUGUUCCUCAACAUACACGGACUGGUAGACGAAGCCUACAAAUGGUGAGCGUAACCUUCUUUCGCAGUGACCGUCUGGGCUUUCUCAUUCGGCUCUGCAACAAGGGGCCUCAGUUAAGAGUUUGUCAGCGGAAUGUUAGCAUCCUUAAACAGUGGUUUCGCUGUAGCUAAGGUAGACAGAUGAAGAUGGCAAGCUUCAAGAGGAGCUACGCGCAUUUGUCUUCGAGUAGCUUUAAGUUAGGCUUAGCUGAGCCCCCAUUCUGUUCGUCACAGAGCAACGGUCCUUGUAACGUACUGACGCAGUUGGUUUUUGACGAACGGAGUGUUUUCUUUUUCUUACGUCAACCGAAGAGGCACUUCGCGUUUCAGUUCGUAAGCCAAAUUGGUGUUACGACAAACUUUUGUGUCCACCUUCGAUUCCAGUUCCAUCGUGGUUAGGGCUAGCUUACGGUCGCGCUGCUAGGUGUAUCAUGCACGGGGAGAUCUAUCUGUUCGGCUUAGGUUUGUAACUGUCACUUUUGUUAAUAAAAUGGUGGUUGUCUGUUUCUUCACUCGUACCCGUUUUGACGCAAACAUGCACUAGCUUAUUGGUUGAGGCAGGUACACUUUGGCUGCCCGAGCCUCGUUGUCCUUUUUGCUCUGUCAUUUUAUUAGAUUUGUGUCUUGUAUUUGCCCACCAUUUCAAUAAAGCCUUGCUUCCUUAUCUUGACUUUGUCUUUCAUCCAUUCCUGGUACGCAAACAUGCACUAGCUUACUGGUUGAGGUAGGUACAUUUUCACUACCCCCUUUCCCUUCCAGGGACUAUAGUCAUGUGCUGCAGCUCAGCCUCAUUUCCCUGGUUCAUAUGGGAGGAGAGCGUCCGGCAUUGAACAUGCCCCACCGGAACCUUGUGAAGUAUCUUUCACUUUGCUCUGGUAACGAUACUGGCUAAUUCUUUGUUUCUUUCCGCAGGUACUGUUCCCUAGCUGGGGUGGAGACAAGACGGGCGCAUGAAGAAUCUUGAAGACUUUUAUUGUACGGUUUUCUUUAUUGCUAUUCCUUGCUGCAAAAUAAAUGUUCCCAUGAGAAUUUU